AUGAACGCUAGCGGCAGGCUUAACACAUGCAAGUCGAGGGGCAUCGGGAGUAGCAAUACUGCCGGCGACCGGCGCAAGGGUGCGUAACGCGUGAGCAACAUGCCCGUAUCAGGGGGGAUAAUCCAUGGAAACGUGGUCUAAUACCCCAUAGUAAUUAUGUAAGGCAUCUUAUAUAAUUUAAAGCUUUUGGUGGAUACGGAUUGGCUCGCGUGACAUUAGCUAGAUGGUAAGGUAACGGCUUACCAUGGCUACGAUGUCUAGGGGUUCUGAGAGGAAGGUCCCCCACACUGGAACUGAGACACGGUCCAGACUCCUACGGGAGGCAGCAGUGAGGAAUAUUGGACAAUGGAUGGAAAUCUGAUCCAGCCAUGCCGCGUGCAGGAAGAACCGGCCCUAUGGGUUGUAAACUGCUUUUGUAUGGGAGCAAUAAGGGCUACGCGUAGUCCGAUGAGAGUACCAUACGAAUAAGCACCGGCUAACUCCGUGCCAGCAGCAGC
rnacentral:rRNA from 1 species